rnacentral:lncRNA from 1 species
GGACAAGAGCUUAAGAAUUUGCUAGGUAGGAAAUUUUGUUAAAGAUCUAUUGUUAAAGGUACUGGAUCCAGAGAAACUUAGAGACAAGUUAUUUUAAAUCAUCAAAGAACACAUAAUUCCUGUGUUAUUAAAAGCCAAAAGGAAGGGAAAUGGAAAUCUUUACCAUUUAUUUUAGAAAACUUGAUAACUCUGAUACCAAAACUUGACAUAUUAGAACCCCAAAGAGAGCCAACUAUAGAUGAAAUAUAAAAUUAUAAGUAAUAGUCUGUGAUGGUUAAUACUGAGUGUCAACUUGAUUGGAUUGAAGGAUGCAAGGUAUUGAUCCUGGGUUUGUCUGUGAGGGUGUUGCCAAAAGAGAUUAACAUUUGAGUCAGUGGGCCGGGAAAGGCAGACCCACCCUUAAUCUGGUGGGCACAAUCUAAUCAGCUGCCAGCAAAUGUAAAGCAGGCAGAAAAACGUGAAAAGAUGAGACUGGCUUAGCCUCCCAGCCUACAUCUUUCUCCCAUGCUGGAUGCUUCCUGCCGUCAAACAUCGGACUCCAAGUUCUUCAGUUUUGAGACUUGAACUGGCUCUCCUUGCUUCUUAAGCUUGCAGACAGCCUAUUGUUUGAAUUUGUGAUCAUGUAAGUUAAUACUUAAUAAACUCCCAUAUAUAUAAUAUAUAUAUGAUCAAUACUAUGCAUCCUAAAAAAUACU